rnacentral:rRNA from 1 species
GAUGAACGCUGGCGGCGUGCCUAAUACAUGCAAGUCGAGCGAACGGACGAGAAGCUUGCUUCUCUGAUGUUAGCGGCGGACGGGUGAGUAACACGUGGAUAACCUACCUAUAAGACUGGGAUAACUUCGGGAAACCGGAGCUAAUACCGGAUAAUAUUUUGAACCGCAUGGUUCAAAAGUGAAAGACGGUCUUGCUGUCACUUAUAGAUGGAUCCGCGCUGCAUUAGCUAGUUGGUAAGGUAACGGCUUACCAAGGCAACGAUGCAUAGCCGACCUGAGAGGGUGAUCGGCCACACUGGAACUGAGACACGGUCCAGACUCCUACGGGAGGCAGCAGUAGGGAAUCUUCCGCAAUGGGCGAAAGCCUGACGGAGCAACGCCGCGUGAGUGAUGAAGGUCUUCGGAUCGUAAAGCUCUGCUAUUAGGGAAGAACAUAUGUGUAAGUAACUGUGCACAUCUUGACGGUACCUAAUCAGAAAGCCACGGCUAACUACGUG